GAGAGAGGUGUCGCAGAUUAGAUCGAAACUGAAUCCCUCUAGAGGUCACACUUCAGCAGAGCUGCUGUUAUUAGUAUUUGGUGUGUAUUAUAGAGGGCAAAGAUCAUGACUGGCAUUAUAUUAUUAAUUCUGUUUUUACCUGCUGGCUUCAGCCUAAGACAAUCUCCUGAUCUUUCUGCUUACGAGGGUCAGAAUGUGACUCUUCAGUGUACUCAGAUUGGUUCUUCCUAUAAUGGAAUGUACUGGUUCAGGCAGAGACCUUCUGAAUCCCUGGAGCCCAUUGUAUUCUACUAUGUUAACAUGGGCACACUAGAAGAUCGAUUUCAACAGAAAGUUUCUGCCAUAAGGAAGGACAACUCUCUGGAUCUAACUGUGAAGGAGCUGCAGAGCACAGACAGUGGCAUCUACUUCUGUGCAAAACAGGAUGCACAGCAUGACAACCUAAUCUUCAACCUGAACAAGAACUACACCACCCCCACAACAAACACAUACUCAGCACCUGUUAACUGUAGUGCACAAAUCAAGUACUCAUGACCAAAAUACACAAGAGACAGAUAUAUCAAGUGGUUGUGAAGUCAUUUCCUGUCAUCUGGAAUUUAUAUUAUCAAGUGUUGGUUUGCUUUCUAUCAAUGACAGGAAACAAAUAAGCAUGAUGAUUCUGCUCUUUUUAUCUCAAAUCAUGC